UACUCGAGUGGCGAACGGGUGAGUAACACGUGGGUGAUCUGCCCUGCACUUCGGGAUAAGCUUGGGAAACUGGGUCUAAUACCGGAUAGAGCCAUCUUUAGUGUGGUGGUUGGAAAGUUUUUUCGGUGUAGGAUGAGCUCGUGGCCUAUCAGCUUGUUGGUGGGGUAAUGGCCUACCAAGGCGGCGACGGGUAGCCGGCCUGAGAGGGUGUACGGCCACAUUGGAACUGAGAUACGGCCCAG
rnacentral:rRNA from 1 species